AUACGUAGGGGGCGAGCGUUGUCCGGAAUGAUUGGGCGUAAAGGGCGCGUAGGCGGCCCGGUAAGUCUGGAGUGAAAGUCCUGUUUUUAAGAUGGGAAUUGCUUUGGAUACUGUCGGGCUUGAGUGCAGGAGAGGUAAGUGGAAUUCCCGGUGUAGCGGUGAAAUGCGUAGAGAUUGGGAGGAACACCAGUGGCGAAGGCGACUUACUGGACUGUAACUGACGCUGAGGCGCGAAAGUGUGGGGAGCAAACAGGAUUAGAUACCCUGGUAGUCCACACUGUAAACGAUGAAUGCUAGGUGUAGGGGGUAUCGACCCCUUCUGUGCCGCAGUCAACACAAUAAGCAUUCCGCCUGGGGAGUACGGCCGCAAGGUUGAAACUCAAAUGAAUUGACGGGG
rnacentral:rRNA from 1 species